rnacentral:pre_miRNA from 1 species
UCCAUGAUCAUUCGUCUUAUUUGAAAAAAUUUACGAUUAAUAUAUUUAUUCUUACCAGAUGAUAAAACAUGAAUAAUACCAUAUGCGGGACUAAUUUUUUAAGUAUUUAUAUAAAUUUUUUAAAUAAGACGAAUGGUCAAACGUUGGGCA